rnacentral:rRNA from 1 species
GUUUGGUUAAGUUAGAAAGGGCGCACGGUGGAUGCCUUGACACUAGGAGUCGAUGAAGGACGGGACUAACGCCGAUAUGCUUCGGGGAGCUGUAAGUAAGCUUUGAUCCGAAGAUUUCCGAAUGGGGAAACCCACUAUACGUAAUGGUAUGGUAUCCUUACCUGAAUACAUAGGGUAUGGAAGACAGACCCAGGGAACUGAAACAUCUAAGUACCUGGAGGAAGAGAAAGCAAAUGCGAUUUCCUGAGUAGCGGCGAGCGAAACGGAAUCUAGCCCAAACCAAGAGGCUUGCCUCUUGGGGUUGUAGGACAUUCUAUACGGAGUUACAAAGGAACGAGGUAGACGAAGCGACCUGGAAAGGUCCGUCACAGAGGGUAA